GAUGAACGCUGGCGGCGUGCCUAAUACAUGCAAGUCGAGCGAAUGGAUUAAGAGCUUGCUCUUAUGAAGUUAGCGGCGGACGGGUGAGUAACACGUGGGUAACCUGCCCAUAAGACUGGGAUAAUUCCGGGAAACCGGGGCUAAUACCGGAUAACAUUUUGAACCGCAUGGUUCGAAAUUGAAAGGCGGCUUCGGCUGUCACUUAUGGAUGGACCCGCGUCGCAUUAGCUAGUUGGUGAGGUAACGGCUCACCAAGGCAACGAUGCGUAGCCGACCUGCGAGGGUGGUCCGCCACACUGGGACUGAGACACGGCCCAGACUCCUACGGGAGGCAGCAGUAGGGAAUCUUCCGCAAUGGACGAAAGUCUGACGGAGCAACGCCGCGUGAGUGAUGAAGGCUUUCGGGUCGUAAAACUCUGUUGUUAGGGAAGAACAAGUGCUAGUUGAAUAAGCUGGCACCUUGACGGUACCUAACCAGAAAGCCACGGCUAACUACGUGCCAGCAGCCGCCGCGG
rnacentral:rRNA from 1 species